UGUGCUUGUUAUGGCAUCAGCUACUGAUAAAACUCAGUAUUCACCUCUCUCCAAGGGAAGCAACAUGCUUGGCAUAAACAUUCACUUAAUUGAAAGUGCUGCAGGCAAUAUAGGUCACAGAUGGCUGCACUGAUUAGAGAGAGGAAAACCUUUCCAAUUUCAUUGCACAUGUAUGAUUGGAUCUUGGGCUGAUUUGAACUGGCAUAGAUUCAUGAAGCUACAUUGAUUGGCUCCAGCUGAGGGCUUGAACUGGUCCCUUUGAAACAAGGUGCCUUGGUUGAUGCUCACUUCUCCACUCUUUCCACACUGCUGUGCUUUCUGUCAACCUCACCUCCUAGACUCAGGUGCCAACAUUGCAUAUUAUACACUCCCCACUGCAAUGCCUUGCCUGCCCUGUCACUAAAGCAAAAUGGAGAAGGUGAAAUUGUUACUGUCAAUGCUA